GGGCGAUCUGCUGACGAGGGCCCUUGUCUGCCCCGCCCAACACGAGGCACCUGGGAUUACUGAAUCACUGCCUGCUGUUCCCUGGUCACUGCUUCCGAAGAUUUUCCAGAACCUAGGACCAGCUCUGCAUACAACGAAU